UACGUAGGGUGCAAGCGUUGUCCGGAAUUAUUGGGCGUAAAGAGCUCGUAGGCGGUUUGUCGCGUCUGCUGUGAAAACUCGGGGCUUAACCCCGGGCCUGCAGUGGGUACGGGCAGACUAGAGUGCGGUAGGGGAGACUGGAAUUCCUGGUGUAGCGGUGAAAUGCGCAGAUAUCAGGAGGAACACCGGUGGCGAAGGCGGGUCUCUGGGCCGUAACUGACGCUGAGGAGCGAAAGCGUGGGAAGCAAACAGG
rnacentral:rRNA from 1 species